GCUGCCGGGGCUCCCGCUCUCUCUCCGGCCUCCCAGGCAUCUGGAAAGGCUUAAGGGCUCCCGACGGUAAAAGACACCUGCAGGAAAUUAAAGACCGACUGACACCAGAACCAGGCUGAGACGUGCAUGUCCUCAGGGCAGCGCCCAGGUGAGCCUGCUUUGGGCUGAUGCCUGAACUUCUCCCACCAAGACCAUCCAGGUCCAUCCAGGUCCAGCCCUGCCAGACGUGCAGCUUUGUCCAUCAGUGACUCUGAUGUGGACAUUAAGAGAGAUUCAAUGCUGAGAAAUGCAAGGCCCUGCUGGGUGAGGACUCAACCCACGAGUGUGACCAGAGAGUGGGGCUCAGUGAACACAGAACAUCAGGCCAGCUUCACUCUGUUUUCCUGCUGAAGGCUGUGGGAGGCAGGGAUUAUUGGUGGAUUCAGAGGGUUGGUAUUGACAGUGAAUGGGGAUUGACCCAGGCAGAGCCAUGGCCAAGAAUUUCCAUGAGUUUGCCGAAGAUGUUGGAGUAAUUCUGCCAUUCAGCCAUUCCUGUAAUUGUGCCAGGAGGUCAAUGUCUUUCCUACAGCCGUGGCACAGACAGCUCCCAGUAUAUUUAGAAGCCUGGAGACCAAAUGAGUCAUUAGAAUGACCUUGCCCACCCUUGCAAGGGAUUGUCUGUUCAGGAAAGUUUUUCAUUAUUUUUCCACUCAGGUAGAGGGAGGCAGUGCUGAUGUCACGCCGAUGGCAGCUGAGGAGAGGCAGAAGUUGUCCUUCUUAGUGCAGAGGAAGAUUACACUUGCAGUGUUUCCCUGGGCUGUACUGCAGGUGCUCUCAGUCCCUGUGUUGCCUGCAAGGCUCAGUCCUGGCAGCCCAAGCAGAUUUGCUCUGAGGGAUUCUCCAGUGGCCCCAGGCCCUGUGGGUGGGCUUUGGGCCCCUCAUCCCAGCCCUUUGGAAUCAGUUUGGAGAGGUGAUUUGCCGCUGGCCAGCACACUGAACCUGGGCCCUGCUGGGUUUGGGAUCAGAAGGUACCUGCUCUAGUGGUCUCUACCCUAAAUGUCAGCAUUUUAGUAGCAUUUGCCCGCUGUCACCGAGUUCACAUUCCCUAAUGAUGAGGAAGAUUCUUACCUGUUUCAUUCCUGUUUGAGUCAUACGUAGGGAGUACUUCACCUCAAACAAAGCUAAAAUUGGGGGAAGUAAAAUACAUGUCAAUAAAAAUGGGCCAUUGUCUCUGAUCACAAGGCCUGUGCUCUA